UUCCCAGUUUGAGAGUGACCUGAGCUUGCCCCAGGGUGAAGGCCGCUGGAGUCAGCUCUUUCCCAUUCCAGCCAGUUUUCUGCUCCUAAGAAGACUUCUUUCUUGACUGGGAAAGGAGGAAUAGGGCCAGACAGCGCUCAGUGUGGUCAGCUACUGCAUCUGUCCAAGGUUUAAUCACGGCUCCAGCAACAUCUGCAUUAAUGAGGGGAGAAAGAAAGAAGUCCCCUAUCCAAUGACAAAAGAAGCUCUCAGACUAGUUAAAGAACAACUUCUAGUAAAAGAAGACAAUGACGAACGAGUGGUACAUGUGAGAUGCUGCAGAUUCUUACAAAAGAGAGGCUACGUCAAUUCAAGGUGCCUGGGCAGUAGUUACUUCUGCUAUUGCCAUCUUUCAGAGGAGGGACUGAGAUACGCAGAUUAAAUAUGGGAACUGAUGUCGCUUGGCAAGCAGUGUCCACCAGGAUCACACCAGACCAAAGUGGGAGGAGCACCUCCUGUUUAUCCCACGUGGGGAACUUAAGACCUGCUGUCUCUGAACAGGAAGGCCAGUGGCCCUAAACCAUCCCAAGGAUGGAGAGACAAGUUCUUUUUGAAAAAUGAGGUAACCUCUGCCUUUAUUUGGACAAAGCAUCGAGCCUUCCCACCCACAGGCCUGCACAAUUCAAAAUCCCUCCCUGCGUUUCCCCGUACCCUGCACAAGAAAUCCUCCAGUACUUGGCUGGCCAAGACGAAAUCCUCCACAGGAAAUGGGAGUGGGGGAAACACUGUAAAUACUCCAGACUACGUAUUUUUCCUGUCUCAUCGACUGCGCCAUCUGGGCUGGGGGCAGGCAGGACUAGCUGACAUUUGCAAAGGAAGCAAAGCCCACAUCCAGGAUGCUUUGUCACCAAGGUGACUGCAAUGCCGGCUCCCACUCUCUAGUCUAGAGCAUCUUCCAGGUUAUUCUCCUGGACACAAAACCAUGCUGGUACCUGAUCUCUGCAGACUUCUGCCAGGAGGUGAAAUCGAGGAACCCACACUCUUGUAUGCCCAACAUCUUCAGGCCAUUGACCUGAGAGCACCU